AGAUUGAACGCUGGCGGCAUGCUUUACACAUGCAAGUCGAACGGUAACAGGCCGCAAGGUGCUGACGAGUGGCGAACGGGUGAGUAAUGCAUCGGAACGUGCCCAGUCGUGGGGGAUAACGCAGCGAAAGCUGUGCUAAUACCGCAUACGAUCUAUGGAUGAAAGCGGGGGACCGAAAGGCCUCGCGCGAUUGGAGCGGCCGAUGUCAGAUUAGCUAGUUGGUGGGGUAAAGGCCCACCAAGGCGACGAUCUGUAGCUGGUCUGAGAGGACGACCAGGCCACACUGGAACUGAGACACGGUCCAGACUCCUACGGGAGGCAGCAGUGGGGAAUUUUGGACAAGUGGGCGCAAGCCUGAUCCAGCAAUGCCGCGUGCAGGAAGAAGGCCGUUACGGUGUAAACUG
rnacentral:rRNA from 1 species